UUUUUUUAGGUGAAACUAUAAAAAAAAUUUAAAAUUUAGUUAACUUAAGUUUGAAAUGAUCCAAACAAAAAAAUUUAAACUCGAAAUGAUUUUAAUUUAAUAUGACUUGACCAUAAAAAUCGAUUGAAAAUUUGAAUGAUAUAAAUUCAAAAUGUCUUAGACCUAACAUUGUUUAAAUUAGACAAAAUAUUUAAAUUAUGAGUCGUUAAAAUUCUCAAAACAUUUCUUAAAUAUAAAAUAAUUUAAAAAUGUACCUAAAAAUUUACUUAAAUUCGAAAAACUUGACAAACAAACUUAAAUUCAUCCUAUCCAAAACAAAUCAAUUGACAACCCUUAAUGAAAGGGGUUUGAAAGGAAUAAUUAUCAGCCUUACCACAUCCAUUAAUGCAAAGGCGAGCAAGAUGGUGUUGGUAUAAGAAGGCUUGCGGCCGAGCAAAAUUGAUGCGAGAGCAGUGAUGAUGCUGUAUAAGCCUGUUGUUGAUAAUGCUGCCAUAAAGUAUCUGCACAAUUAUAUAAUAAUUAUUUUUAUUAAUUACAUUAUUAUAAAACUAGAUUUCUCAUAGCGUUUAUUGGAAAACUCAUUUUAUGAAUAUAAUAUACCGAGAUAUAAUUUAAUAAUAAAAAUCAUGAUCCUAUAACAUCAAUCUUGGAAUUUUUGUUUAAUACUAAAUUUUAUUGGGAUAAUAUUUUUAUCUGACAUCGACAUGAUAUAUCUCUCAUAUAAUAUGAUCUCUACUUAUUUUAAAGCUCACAUAAUUGAUAAAUUAAUUAAAAAGGUACGCAUGACGUCCUAAUGUAUAAGGACUAAAUUUUAACAUUAGAAACGAAUGAAAUUUUAAUAGUAUUUUUUAAUCUAACAAAUAAAUAUUGGUUUAUUAUUUUUUUAAAUAGAGAAGAUAAAAUAUAAUAUGACUCUUUAAUGUACUCAUGUGAAAUGUGUAUUUAUAUUUAGGGGUGAGCAAAAUCCGAUUCGAUGCAAAAAAACUCGAUAAAAAAUUUAAAUUUUGAAUUAAAUAAUUCGAGUUAUUUGAGUUAAUCAAAUUAUUCGGAUCAACUUAAAUAAAAAAUUAAGUUUUUUUAUUUAACUCGAAUAUGAAUUAUACAAUUUAAGUUAUUCAAAAAUUCGAAUAAGAAAAUAUAAAACUAUAUCGUUUUGAUAAAUGUUUACUUUUUAAAAGUUAAAAUUCAAAAUAAUUAAGUUAAAAGUCAAAACUAUGUCGUUUUAAUAAAUAUUUACCCAUUAAGUUAAAAAGGUAAAAUCAUUAUAUUGUUGCUAUAGUUAAAUAAUAUUGUACUUCGUCUACUAGUUAAAUAAUUGGUUUAUCCAAAUGCAACAUUGAGAAUAAAUAAUAGGGUUUGUUAACUCAACUCGAUUUGACUCGAUUCGAUUUAAUUUGAAAAAAAAUUAAAUUGAGUUCAAUUGCUAAAAUAAAAUUUGUCAACUUGACUAACUCAAAAUUUUUUGACUUGAUUCAACUCGAUUAAAUACUUACCUUUAUUUAUAUAGAAUAUAACCAAACCCGAGUACGAGUGAUAUAAGUUAAAAAAGACUUACACAAAGGCAGGUGAAUCAGUGAACUCGGCCGAAAAAGGAACCCUAACUGAAGUAGGCAAGCCUGGAACAGGAACCAUUUCUGUUUGCUUGCUAGUAGCCAUAACCACCACAGCAAUUACAGCUGCAGCAAACAAUACCACCCUAAGACCAACAUCUACAGCUGAAUAAUUAAAAGGGCAUUUGCUAGCAGCAACCGUCGUUGAUGGUGUUGUGGUUGUCGUCGCCGCUACCGCCGCCGGUUUAUCUGUAGAUUCCAUUGUUCAAAUUAAAAGGAAACUAGCAAAGGCAAAAUGAUGGAUAUAUGGAGAGUUAUGAAGUGAUGGAAUGGUAGUUAUAUAAUGUAAAUUUUGAGUAAAGAAAUCAAAUUUGGUUGGAAUUCCCCGCACGCCAUUCAAAAGUUGAUUACUAAUUUCAAUUGUUGAAUUUUUUUUUAAUUUAAUGUUUUGAAUAUUAUGUUAGCUUUUUUUUUUUUGUUGGGGACUUUUCUGGCUGUUUCACACUAUGUCGGAGAGUGGACGACGAAAUUUAUUAUAAUCUGCAUUUGGUUCUGGAAUGUUGGUCAAAUUAUGCUGUGAGUCACUGUACUUGAAUGAAAUUUAUAAUUUAAUCCAUAUAUAUGUUAAAUUUUUAAAAAAUGGAAUCUUCUUCUUAUUUUUUCGAUUUGAAAUUAUAGACCAUCUUUCAUACCAUUAGCAUUUUUUGUCAAAUUUUAUUAUCAUUCAAUACUAUCAACAUAGUAAGCAAAUUUUGAUAAUAAGCGAGAAAAUGAGAGAAUUUAACUUUUAACUUUUAAUUUUCUAUGUAUAUUAUAAAGAUUAAAUUUCAACUUUCGCAAUCUACAAGGAUUGAACGCGUAUUUAUAUUUUCAAUAGUCAAUUAUUCGUUUUGAUUAUAAGUAUAUAUUAAUGUAUUUUAUUUUCGUAAUUUAUUAUAUUUUAUAAAAGUAAACAACAUAUUUUAAAAAAUUGAGACUAAUUUGAUUCAACCACAUCUUAUCAUCCAUAUUUAAAUACGUAAUAAAUGAAUAUUUUUAAAGAAAAUAAAAGGCUCGGAUAAUAUUUACGGGCCACUGUACUCCACAUUACCCAUCCAUACCAUACUCAUAUGUACUGUUAAAUAAAAAAAUAAUUUUAGAUAACGGUAGAUUUUCUCACCACGAUGGAAACUUGUUCCCAUACGUAUAUGAUCCUCUAGAGAGAUCGAAAAUAAUUGAUUACCUUUAAUAUAUGUCAACAUGGUCAUUGCAAUUUGUGUUAAUGUUGAUAUUAUAUUGUUUUAACAUUUGACUAGGCUGUCAAAUUUCUGUCGUUGCAAAUUGGCUCUUAGCCAGUUUGGGAGUAACAAUUUUUUUUUAGAGUCAAGUUAUUUUUAUGAUAGUAAAAAAAUAUAAUUUUAUUGUUUUAAUAAUUUAUAUAUUUUUAAUUUUUUUAAAAUUAAAUUAAAUUAUUAUUAUUUUUAAAAUAUCAAAACUGUAAUUUUAUCGUUAUUAAUUUAAAUUUUAUAAAAUAUAAAAAAUUUCUAUUUUAAGCAACCAGCCCCGCUGGCUAAGCGACUACUGCUAGCGGCCUAUAAGUGGCAACAUAUUUUAUAUAUAAAAACCCAAAAGAGAUGUCUAUAUAUAUAUAUAGUAUUCGUUUGAAAAUCAAAUAUUUGACUUUGAUAUAAGAUGAGGAGAAAAGAUGGGUUAGUUUGCAUAACAGAGAUAGCGUUCACAUAAGGAAACUUCUUUUUUAUAUAAAAAGGGAAAUUUUGAUUUAAACUCAUAUUUUAAACUUUGAUUUUAAUUUAAAUAUAAAAAAAUAUAUUUUAAUUUAAUUUUAUAUUUAUUUUUUAUGUUAGAUAAGUAUAAUUAUUUGUUUAUGUGAUAUCAAUAAUGGUGCUAGUGGUUUGUGAAAAUUAAAUUAAACUAAAAUGUCGUGUAUAAGAUUAGGCAAAAUUAAUAUUAAUGUAUUACAUUAUAAAUUACAAAAUUAGGAUCAAAUUUAUAAUGGAUAUAAAUGCUGAGGGCUAAAUUUGACAUUAUGACUAUAAAAUAAUCUAAUCCCUUUUUUUAUGGACCAUUGGUAUUCGGGUCUAACGAAUAAGACCUUUGCUCAAUGUCAAUGUUUUAAUAAUUAGAUCAAAUUACUGAUUGUCAAGUCAAAUAUUCGAUCCGAUAAUAAUUAAGUAAAUAAUUUUAAAAAAUCAUAGAAACAAUAAUAUAUUAUAAAAUUAGCUAUAUUGGUUCAACGGUCGAUUUUUUGUCUCGAUUUCUAAUUUUUUAUUGGUUUUAAACAAUUUGUUUAUAGGUUGAUUCAAUUUAUCUGUCUAGAUCGAUAUACAUUUAUAUAGAAUAUGAAUACUUUUUUUUUAUAAAACAAUAAAGAAUUGGGAAAUUAGCAUUUAUGACCCUAAGCCAUUGCUUUCAGGAUAUCAAUUAUUUUUAUAAAGCUUACAUACGAAAGCUAUUUGUGUUGAAGUUACAUAGGGAGAGAUAGAGAUCAUUCAAGUUCAAAAUUUCAUUAAAAUAACAUUUCAAUUCAAUAUCUAGAAUCAAAAGAUAGUUUUAAAGUAGUCCAAUCAUUUUAUACUUUGUAUUAAAUUUUUUAAAAAAAGUCAGAGAAAGUAUGGCGAAAGCAAAAAUAGGAAUUUAAGAAAAUUUCCCCUUUUCACAUUAUGGCGGUUGGAAUAUACAAGCUUCUUUAAACAUGGCUGCUAAGCAUAAUUCUGAACUUGAUCCCUAAUGUUUACGCUUUUUGUCACUUUAGUCCUAAUUCCUUUUUUAAUCACUUUAAGCGUUAUCUUUUAAAAUCACGUGAAAACGCUGCGUUUCGAGUGAAAAAAUGAUAAUUAAAUCAUUAAAAAUUAACAACAUCUAUUAAGAACUUGAUAAUCCACCGAGUGUUUUGCAUAAUGGGAUGGUUGAUUCAAUAAUUUAAUCUUUAUAUUAUUAAAAAUAAUUAAAUAAUGUCAAAUUAGAAUAGAGUAAACAUUAUUGUUUAAUAAAUAUCAUUUAUUGAUUAGCUAAAUUAAUAUUUUUAAAUUUUUUAUGGUUUUAUAAAUUAAAUUUUUUGUUAGAAUUGAAUUACAACUGAAAAAAAAUUAAAACAUUUUUUAUAGAACAAUUGUUUAUUUUGUUAAAAUUUGAAUUUAUCUGAUUCUUUUUAAUGGUAUAGAGAAUAAAUUGGUCCAUUUAACAAUAAAAUGACUAAUUUGAUACAAUCCCUAUAAUACAUGGAUCUCUUAGGUAUUUUUUUUUUUUUAGUUACAAAAGGAAGUUCAACUAUAACGCUCAACCGAUAACAAUAGACUAGUUACUCAACACUUAUCCUUCAACAUUACAUUUUACAUUGUCAAAGGAGAUUGUGAGAAAAAAUAAAAAACCUAUUUGGCAACGCCUUAUUGCCUUGUGUAUAGCAUUAGCAGCCAUAUUUGUUGUUCAUAGUACAUGUCGAAUCUCCAGUCCACUUGCCAAUCCCUCGAUAUCCAAUUGCAAACGUUCGAUGCUAAUCUCGGCAAUCCCACCACUUUGGCUCCAAGUAUUAGGUCUAUUACUGUCCUACUAUCACUUUCAAUUAGUAGCUGACGCGCUUUUUCUGCCAAACUGUUUCUACCCCAUCAACAAUUGCUCGGAGUUCUGCCUCUAGGAUCGAACUAACACCUAUGUUACGCCCAUACCCAACUACCCAGUCGCCCUGGUGGAAUUUUACUAUCCCACCUGUUAUCGCACUUCCAGAUCGCAUGUUAACUCUCCCAUCCAUAUUAAGUUUAUACCACUCUGUCUGAAGAACUUCCUACAAUAUAAAUACAAAUUUUUGUGACUCAGAUGCCAUCCACAUUAAUAAUUUAAACCAAUAUAAAAUGGUCAUGACGACUUGGUCUGUACUAAAAUUUUGACCCUUGAAAAUAGCCAAAUCCCUUCUUUUCCAAAGUAAACACUAUUUCCUAUUGUAUCCCUUGAUAACCAUUUUUGGCACAUUUUUUACAUUUCACUGCAACCAAUAUUCAAAUUCAUUUGUAAAGAAAUCUCUCAGGUAUUUUGACCAUUUAUUUUCUUGACCUUGCAUUUGUCAGUCUAGGUUAAUGGACUUAAUGCAUAUUUAUUGUUUUAAAAUAUAAAAAAUUUAACUUUUUUUAAAUAAAAUUAAAGAGAAUUCUAACUUUUUAUAGUAUAAAAUGAAAACUUUUGGUAUAGUUUACCGCAUUUUAUAAUUUUUUUGCCUAUUGAAAAAUAAAUAAAUCAUAUAGUAUUUUAAUGAAAAGGAAACUUAGAUAUAUUGCUAAAUUAAUUUUUUAAAAAUCAUAACUUUUACGUAACCAUUAAUUUGCACCAAAAUAAACUUAAAUAUUAUUUAUACCAUAACAAAUCAUUACAUAAAUUAAUAUUUUCUUUGAAAUCAAACUUUUUUUUUUUUUGGAUAAAAUAAAUUCAAAGUAUAAAGGUUUACUUAGAUCCAGUAAAUAUAUAAAAACUUACUUUAAAAAAAUUGAAAAGUCAAAUAAAUUGAAGCAUUUUUUUAGUAUUUUAAGUAUUCAUAUAUUGUGAAGGAGAAAUGGUAUAUUAACUAAUGAAAGAAUUUUUAUAUAUGAAAUUUACACGACAAAAACGAAAGGGAAAGCCUUUUAAAUUUUUUAAUUAUACCAUUAAAGAACACUAAUUGGGUCUUAAACUCUUAAUUAUUUAAAUGAAAAACAAAGGUUAAAGUAAUUGGAAGGUCCCUGUAUUACAGAGACUGGAUUAAUUUAGUCCCUAUACAAUUAAAAAUAAUCAAAUAGGUCUAAAUUGUAACGGAGUUUACAUUUACCGUAUAAAAAAUGUCUUGAAAAUUAUUCUUUUCAAUUGCAAUUCAAUUAUGAGCAGAAGAUUUCAUUUACAAAAUGGUAAAAACUUUAAAGAUAUUAACUCCAUUAAAUAAUAAAAGUUAACUCUAUUAUAAUUUAGAUUUAUCUAAUUUUUAAUAGUAAAAAAACUAAAUUGAUCUAUUUAAUAAUUAGGGAAAUUAAUUUAAUCAAAUUCUUAUAAUACAAGGACUCAAAAAAUAAUAUAUUACCCAAUGAAAUUAAUUGCUCAAAAAUCAUAAAUAUCAUAUUUUGAUAAGACCAACGGACCAAGUCACGUUGUUAGGUAAUUAAAAUUUGGAAGUCAACGGAUUUAUUUUAUUGAUUAAUAAUAAAUCACGAUAUUUAGUUAUCUUUUUAUUUAAUCUUCUAAGUAUUGAAUAUGUUAAUUGAUGAUUUGCAGAUCAAGAAAAAGCUUGAAAUUGCAAACAAAAUUAAUUAAUCUUCUUUGAAAGUGAUGUGAUAAAAACUUUAUCCUUAAUUCAAGUUUGAGUAGGAUCCAAAACUCUUUAUUAUUAUUUUUUCACAAUUUUUAUUUUAUUUUAUUAACAUGAUAUUGAAUAUUAUGCAAUACUCGUGAAAUGUUAAACGUUAAUAAUAAUAAUAAUAAUAAUAAUAAUAAUAAUUUAUCCAAUAAUUAUAAAACUUCAAUUAAUAUAAUUGUUAAAAUAAUAAUUUGAAGGUUGUAAAUAUAAAUAUAUUUAAACUGUAAUAUCUUUUGAUUUAAGAAUUUGAAAAGGUAAUAGUAUUUUAAAUAUUGUAUUUGAAAUAUAUUAAAAUUAAUUACAUUGAACAUCUUCAAAUUAUCACCCUUAUUCUAAGUUGACCCUCGAAUUUUAAAAAUUUUAAUUACAUCCUUAUAUUCCUAAGGUUAUAUCAAUAAAAUAUAAAACCUUUCUGUCACUGAAAUCUUAACUUUGAAGCUUUUAAACAAACUAUUGUUCAUUCUCUCUGUUUGUUGGUUUUACUGCAUUUUUAAAUUCAAUUUUAAAAGUUAUAUGAUAAUAUUUUACUUUUCUUUUAAAUUUUCCUUUUAAAUUAUGUCGCAUAAAAUUUUUCAUAACAUGUAAUGGUUAAAUGAAUUGUUUUAAUAAUAGAAAAUUUUGAUUAAUAUAAUAUCAAUAGUUUAAAAUUCCAAUUUAAAGUGAGUAUCAUAAACUAAAGAUAUUUAGUGCAAUUAACUCAUAAUAUUAUUAAUGGAAAUAAUAAAAUAGUUAAUUCCACCAAACUUUAGAUUGGUCUAUUUCAAAACAUUUUAAACAUAAUAUUAUUGUGUUAGCAAUUUAAAUUUGACAUAUUAACAAAAAAAUCAAUAAAACUUGGAAAAACUAUUAUUUUUAAAACAUUAGAUCCAAAUUUUCCAUAAAGUACGCAUGUUUAAAAAUUGAUAGAAAUUAAUUCCUAACUAAAACAUAAAAUCCUGAAUCUUAAAAUUUUCAAAAAUUUUAUUUUGUAAAAUUAAAUGAACAAAAGGAUUUCUUGAACAUUAAAGUGAUAAAAAAAAGUGCUUACUAUGUGACAACAAUUCUCAGAAAUGUCUUAACAUUGUUGAAGGAAGCUUUGUUGAGACAAAGGUACCAUAGUUCCAGUUUUUUUGACUCCGAUCUUCCCUGCCCUAUGAUAGAAUUUCGUUUUUCGUCAAGUCUUCCAAUUUUACGUCCCUCGCUAAACCAAUGUUUAGUAGACUAGCAACCAUGGUAGGAAUAUCUGAUUUCAAAGAUGCAGCCAAUGCCUGACCAAAUUGAUUCAAUGAAAGACAACUAUUAGCUUUAGAUUCUUCAGUACACAAUUCUGAAAGAAAUGACAAGGUUUUCAAUUUUACAAGGGAAUUCAUGGUACAAUUAAAAAUUAUUACCUUCUUAUCCUCCUCUUUUUGAUGUUUAAGAACUUCUGAAGGCCAUUCGUUUACCAGCUUUUCAACUUCAACUGUAAUGCUCUGCUUCCUUCCAUCGGAUAGAGUCUGGCAUGAAUAAAGUUAAUCUCAUAAACAUUAUAAGACCAAAAUACAUUCAAGGGCACAUAGAAACUAACCUCAAAAUAUCAUACUAAUAAUUUUUAAAUUUUUAUGAACUUCUGAGGGCACAUCACGUGUAACUGUCUAGUUAUUCUAUUAACCAUGCCAGUUUUUAAGUAUAGAAAUGGAUGAAAUUUUUAAUAGAAAAUACCAAUUUGCUCAUUUUUUGAGUAAACGGGGCAAAAUGCAAUUUGAUUCCUAGUACAAAGGCCUCCAUAAGACUUUUACCAAUUAUCUUCCUUUUUAUUUUAAAUUCCAUUUUGUUCUAUUUUCCCCUACCUCAGCAUGCUCGAUACGGGUGUAGAAUCCAUGGGAGGAUGACCUAAAUUAUAAACCACAAGAAGGCAUAACUUGAUAUGAUACCGGAUUUACCUCAUUAAGGGCUUGGAUAAGAGCUGCAGCAUCCUCGGGCUUGCGUUCUAGUAGUAAACCCUGAAAAUGCAGAAAUAACAUGUAUAGGUCAUCAAAUGAUCAUGUUCUUUUAUUUACUGAAAUCAAUUUUCAUACAGGCAUAGAAUCAAAAAGUACCUUGGCACAUGCAAAACCAGUGGUGAGAGAAUGCUGCUUCAUUGACUCAGAUCGCAGUUUCUCAAUAUUCCACAGUGACUCUGUGUCUCCUAUUACCAAGAAAUGAUAGAUUAAUUGCAAGUACAAGGAAAGAGAAAAUCAUUCAUCUGGCUCUCGCUUUAUCUCUCUCUCUCUCCCUUUAUCAGUUCCCUCUAAUUUCCUAACCCUGGGCUAGAAAUUCACUGCCAAAGACUAUCUAAGUCUAUUCAGAAAGCUGAGUAGCUUUGUAGGUCACAAGUCAAAAACCAGAAUAUAUUCUUACCGACCAUCACCACUAAGUGAGACAGUUUUAAAAAGAAAUGCAAAUCACAGAGAAGAUCCAAAGAGAUGCAAAAGAAAGGAACUAAAAACUCAGAGAUUAUAGACCUCUUCGGAUGGCAAAUUCCAUCCAAGUGCCAAAUGUAGUCUGUCGUAGUUUAACACCAGCCUUCAUAAACCUCUUCGAGUACUUAGAGAUCAACUCCCAAUCAUUUGUAUUGUAACAAAUGCUGCAACAUUUAAUCCAAAUAAAUAUUAAAUCAACUUAAAGGAAGCAUGAAAAUAAUUACACAUCCCUUCAACCAAAAAAAAAGAAAAAAGAAAACAACUGCGAAAACUAAUCUGUUAAGUUUGGGGCACUUAUUGGAACACAAAAUCGAAUAUUUUAGAAAAUUAGUCAGCAAAAGCAUAGCAGGUCAUCUAUUCGUACCAAUAUAUAGCUUGUUCAUUCAAAGAACAAAUAUCCAAUACUGCAAAGUCAUAUAGACACACAUCACAUUCAAAUAUCUCGGAUUUGAUUGUCUUGAGUGUCCUAGUGCAGGAGAGCAAAUAGGACAAGGAUCAAACUUGAAUUGAAAGAGAAUGAGUCUUUCAUGCCAUGUCAAUUAUUUCAUAGACUUAAAAUUUUAUUGCGAAUAGGGAAAAAAAUGUUAUUAAAACAGGAAUUCUUAGGGCAUUUAGCAAUGCAAAAGUGAAACAUGUGACAUAACUGAAGACUGAUUUACCUGAAAACAAUAUCCGCAGUGCCAGCUUGUAAUGGUAAGUUGUUCCUUUUUAAAAGCCUCAUUACUUCCACCAUGAGUUUAGCAUCAUUAUGAGCCUUAGCAUACGACUGCACUCCAAUAAUUAAUUAUAAGUACAAAAGAAUUUGAAAAUUGAACAACUUGAUUGAUGAGUCAAUUAUACCAAUAAAUGAUGUGCAGAUGCAACACUAGGAGUCAGUCCAUAAACAUUGUGCAGCCACAAAGCUUUCUUUCCUGCAUAAGCAUUCAAGCUAAAUCAUAUUCAUAUAAUUACAUUAAAUAAACCAGGCGGUAUGUAUAUAUUUUAAAUAACAAAUAAAUUUCUGCUAACUGGUAAUAAAGAACUAACAUUAAAACUACAGAGAACUGUUCGAGGUCUAUAAAAAGACUAAAUUGGUCAAACUGAUUCUUUAGGUUUCUUAAGUACCCGUGUCCGAAGCACUAUCCAAGAACCUUCGUAAUGUGUAGAAAAACUUUGAAAAAAAUUGGUCUUUGACACAUAUCAGCAUGCCAAACUCCCACUCAAGUUAAAUUAAUAUAGGCUUAAGAUAUGAAGAACAAUAAGGCAUACCAAAAUCAAUGGCUCCCACACAAGCACAAGUCUUGGCAACUUGUUGGCAGAGAUUGCAAUUAAAAUUUGAAUGAAUCCGUAGGUUCGAUAAUCGCUGCAACCAAAAACCAGACGGUACAUCCAUAAACAACAAAUGCUUAAAACUAACAAAACAAAGGAAACAAAGAUAAGGAAUAUACCAAUCUUCGGAGAUUCUGGAGAACAUUGAACAGAAGCUUAAUAUCUUCACGAUUUUUGCAGUUUCCGAUCAUUGACCAUAGAGAAGCAUUCGGAGGCAUUGUUCGUUUAACAUUUACAGAUUGAAGCAUGUCAUCAUAGAGUUCCUUAACUGCCUCUAAAUUCGACAAUACAAUCCAAACAUUAAACAUAAAACAAAAAGCUUCGAAGAUGAUAUCAAACUAACCUAAGAUAGAGCAAAUCAAGUACCAGUUGGAUUGCUAUUAACUGUUCCAGCUUCUGUCGAAAAAAAUGUCCUUGAAAUCAUCGGAUAAAUUGAAUGCAGAGGCAUUGGAUAAUAACAGCUUCCAUUAAUCCCUGUAAAUUUCAAUAACUAAAAAUUAAAAAUACAUAAACAAUAUUGAAUUAUUUAUCUUCUUUCUAGGCGAGAACUAGUGAGUUUUUCUACUACUUAGCUAAUAACGUAAUCAAUUAGCAUUGAAACGAACAGGGAAAAAAUAACAAAAUUAAAUUAAAUUAUUUAAAUAACCAAAAUAAUUUCGUAAUGUAUUUGAGUAUCCAAACGAAGCAACUAAAAAAAACACAGAGAUUUUGACGGUACCUGAGGAAGCGUCACUGUGAAGUUGGCAUUGAAGAGAAGAGCUAGGAGAUUGAAUCAAAGAUGAGAGGUAAAGUUGAUUAGAAUUGAAAAGAAUUGUUCGAGAUCCUAAAACCCUAGCGAGAUUGCGAGCGUUCGAAAGGACUUGCAUCUUUCUUUCUAUUUUUCCUUUUCUUUUCUUUUGCGUUGGGACUGAGUGGUAGCUGAGUCAGGUAAUGAAGCGGGUUAACUCGGCGGGUUUAUAUACGAAAACUCGUAUGGGUUUUUCUUUUCUUUUCUCUGGAAGUGGCUGAUUCAGGGUUUUAGGGAAGAAGGAAGGAUUUACUUCCUUGGGGUCUUCUAUGGACCUUUCACUUUUUUUAAGCAUAAUUCAUGGUUUAACCCUUGAACUAUAUUAUUUUUUCAUUUUGAUACUUAAUAAUUUUUCCACUUUAUACUUGUAACUUCAUUUUUAUCUCAAAAUUGCCAAUAAAAACGUGCUAGGUGUGAUAACUUUGUUGGAUGCCGGUAAAUUUUUUUUUUAAUAAAAUGGACGAAAACAAUAAUUCAAUCAUCACAGUUGAAUAAAAAAUUUAGAUAUCAAAAUUUUAAAAAAAUACAUAAUUCAACGGACAAUGUGACUUAAACUUUUCUACUAUCGUAAUUCAUUUUAUGUGAAAUUUAAAAAAAAAUUCAUCAUCUAUAAAGAUUAAUCAUUUCGUAGUUUAUAAUUGUUCCUCUCAAUAAUAUUAUCUCCAACACAAAGCAAAAGUGAUUACUGAUUAAUAUUGACACCUCAAGAUUAAAUGUUCAAGUCUUGAUUGUUACUUCCUGUCUUUCAAUUUAUAAGCUUGUAACAGUAAAAAACAACAUCACCCGACAUAUUACUAAGUUUACUUAAAAAAUUGACAUGCUUAAUAAUUUAUUUUAGGGCAUACUAUAGAAAUAGUUAUUUUUAUUUGUCUAAAAUUAUAUUUUAGUCACUUAUGUUAUCAUUUUGUUAUGAAGUGGUCACUCUGUCAUUGCCUCCCUAACGGCAAUCCUAUGUAGCAGUCCAAAUGAGUUUUAAAUGUCAACUUGGAUGUCUAACUAGGACGAGAAUAAAUUUUUAAAUAAAUAAAUUUAAUUAAUUGAAAACUUUAAAUUGAUUACACCUUGAGCGGGAAAAGAAAAAUUGUUUGUCUCUUUUUAUUUUAGUUUUCUUUUCCAUUUGACUGAAAGAACUAUUCUUAUCCCAGUUGGACAUCCAAGUUGGCAUUUAAAACCCAUUUAGACUGCCACGUAGGAUUGCUGUUAGGGAGGUAAUGGAGCUUAACGACAAAGUGAUUACUUCGUAACAAAACGAUAAUGUAAGUGACUAAAACAUAAUAUUUCAAAUAUAAGUGACUAAAAUAUAAUACGAGGUAAACAAAAGUGACUAUUUUUAUAGUUUACCCUUCAUUUUAUUUACUAAUUAUGGUUUUAUUCUCUUUAUUAUGCUAAAAUUUAAUAUCUAACCAUUUUCGUUUAAUUUGACUUUAUUUAAGUUAUGUAUUUUUAUAAUGUUAUAUUAAAUUCAAUUUUUUAUGAUUGUGAUUUGGAAAGCUUGAAAAUUUAAUAAAAAUAUGUUGACGAUAUAAAAAAUAUGUCAAUAGAAUACUAAAAGUUAUUUUUAAAAAAUUAUCUUCAUCAAUUUAAGGGCAUCAAUUAACUUUAUAUAAAUUUAAACCUAUUGAUAGCAUUAUAAAAUUAGAAUAAUUGAAUAAUUCUAAAUUAAAAGGAUUAAAUCUCAAAUAACGGUGACUAAAAUGACAAAAGAAAAAAAAAAUUACAGGAUCCGAAACAAUGCUUAUAAAACGAGGUGGUUAUAACUAGUCUGAAGUUCCGACCGUGAUUUAUCAUUGUUUUACGAUAAUCCAAGCCAGUUCAAACUAAUGUAAAACAAGAAAUAUCAUCGAACAUCCUCUUGUUGAAUUCAGUUAAUUAGUUAAAGCUAUUUAAUAACAACCAUUGCUACUUUUGUUCCAUUAACAUAAAAGUUGUUUUUAAAUAAAUAAAAAACUGUAAUUAAGAAGUAAAUUACUGUUAUGUUUUUCUUUUCCCUGUAUUAAAAAGGGUAGCAGUGUGGUUCUGUUGUCUAAAAUCGGAAUAAGCAGAAAUGGGUUGCGGUAAAUCGAAACACGUCGCGAUUGAAAACACGAUCAGCCGUAAAAAUUCGAUAGCCGGAUCGAAGAAGGGCAAAACUCCGGAAAUCGGCAUCGGAGAAUCAAGUAAAUUACUUGAAAGAAAUGCUACCUCAUUAAUGGAAGAGGAGGGUAAAAUUGUUGUUAGUAGGAAGACUUCGAAAGCAGAAUUCAAGAGGGUAAAAACAGAGAAGAGAAACGGAGAUAUUGAAACGGGCUGCGGUGAAACGGAAUGCGACGCGGUUAAAAACAAGAUGGGUGGUGAAAAUUCGGGCGAAGCAAGUGAACUUGAUAGAAAAACUAGCUCGUUAAGGAAAGAGGAAGGCGAAAUUGUCGAACAAGAUUCUAUAGCGGACGAUUCCAAGGUUGUCGUUGAUGGAAACAGUGUAGUCGAACUCGAAACAAGCCAAGUUGAUGGAAACAUGAGCUUGAAGUUAAUUGAAGAAGAUGGCAAAGGUGUCGUACAAGAUUCCGUUGCAGACGAUUCCGAGAUUAUUGUUGAUGGAAACGGUGUGAUCGAUAGCGUAGAAUCGAAGGAACCCAUUGAAGAAACAAGCGAACCCGAUGAAAACAUGAGCUUCUUAACGAAAGAGGGAGGGGAAGAUUCCAUUGCAGGCAAAUCUGAAGCUAUUGUAGAUAAUGAAAACGGCAUAACUGAAAAUGCAGAGCAAAAUGAGGGUAAUGAGAAGCUGAAACUUGGUGAAGAAACUAAAGGAGAUGAUACCUUGGAGGACAAGCAACUAGAAGAAAAUAAUGCAAAAGAAGGAACUGCAAAUGGUAUUGUGAUAAUUAUUAACUGAAGAUGGCAUUUUAUUACUUCUUUUUAAUGGAUUCACUGAUUAAAUUUAAGUCCUUAAUGUUUGUAUGUUUCCAGAAGAACCAGACACUGUGAAGGGAGAGAAUUUGGGAAAAGAAGCAAAAACAACCGAAGAAGUUGAAGUUUAUCCCCAGUUGUUAAAGAAGUAUUAGUUAUUAUUAAAUGAAAUUUGGAUGUACUCACAAAACGGGUUUUUAAAUACUUACAUUAGUGUAAAAAGUUUGGUAAAAAUCCCUUUCUAGACCUUCUUAAUUUAUAAAUUGAGCAAAUUAAUCCCUCACAAAAAAGUUGGAACAAUAUAAUUUAUGUUAAUUUUGAAAGUGAGCAAUUAAAGCUCAAUUUCUAAAUUAAGAGAGACUGAAGAGGUCUUUUUACCAAAAAGUUUUAUAUAUUUCAAUGAAUUUUACUGAUUAAUAUUUUAAAAUUCUAAUAGCUGAAUUUAAUGAUAUAAAGUUAUAAUAUGCUCAAAGUCUUGUACUCUCUCUAUACAUGCUCAAAGUUAUAAUAUGCUCAAAGUCUUAUACAAAGCCAUCUAUGAAGCACAUGGGUGGUUGUUGCCUUUUGCUGCAGUUGUAGGCGUUAUAUUGGAUGUCAUCACCAACUGUGGGUGUGACCACUAUUAAAUAUGUGAUUGAUAAUUCAACUUUAUCUUCUUAUUUUUCUUAAUUUUAUAGUAUUUUUUGCAUGCAAAAAAUAUGAAUGUGUUUUUCAAGUAGGUGACGAUAUCGGGAUUUGGACGAGUGUAUACCAUGCUUGUAUACCGCCAUAUAAUAGAGACUCAUCCUGGAGUUAAAGUAAAAUACGCUUCCGAUUUUUUUUUUUUUUUACAAAUACAAUCUCUAUAAUUAACUUACCUAAAAAAUUUGUCUAUACCAUGCAGUUCCUAUGGAUGUCGUAUUCCAAACAAGAAAUUGCAAUCCUCGUACUACUAUGGGUUAACAAGCAGCAAAUGUUGUUUGUGACUAUUAAGCUCUUCUUUUUUGAUUAAUUUGGGAUUUAAAAUUUUGAGAUUAUAUAAUUUUGGUUAUUUUGCAUUUGGAUAGUUAUUUUAGAUUUAAAUUAUUUUAGGUUUAAGUGAUUAAAAUAUAAAAGUUAAUUUAUUUUGUUGGUAUUAUGGAUUUAAAUUAUCUUGAGAUUUGAUCUAUUAAUAUUUAAGUUAUUUUGUAUUUAGAUGAAUUGGAGUUCUGAGUUGAUUUUUUUUUUAUUAAACUUGAAUGAGUCAAAAUUAAAUUCGAAUUAAUUGGACUAAAAUUAAUGGGUGUUUUACAUUUUUUUUUUGAUGAAAGGGUGUUUUACAAUUUAAUCAUGCAUGAAGGGUGUUAAAUCUUUGUAGUUUUUGGACAUUUAAUACUUUUAUUUUUUUAUAUUUUAUUUAAGAAUUAAAAAUUAUGUGAGAAUUAAAUAAUCAAAUAAAAAUUUAAUUAAUAAUUUUAUUUUAUUUAUCACCUUUUUUUUAAUCAGAUAUAAAAUAAAAAUUCCAAGAAAUGUAUUAAAACUGAACUAUUUAAUCGAAUAAAAUAGAAUGGAAUAAAUAUAAGGGUAAACUAUAAAAGUAGUCACUUUUGUUUGCCCAAAUUACAUUUUAGUCACUUAAGUUUGAAAUGUUACGUUUUAGUCACUUACGUAAUUGUUUUGUUACAAAGUGGUCACUCUACUGUUAAACUCUGUUACCUCCCUAAUGGUAGUCUUAUAAGGCAGUCUAAAUGGGUUUUAAAUUUCAACUUGGAUGUCCAGUUGCUGGGAUGAAAAUAGGUUUUUAAUUAAAUAAAUUUAAUUUGGACUACUACGUAUGUCAUCUAAGUUGGCAUUUAAAACCCUUUUGGUUUGCCACAUAGGACCGCCAUUAGAGAAGUAAUGGAGCUUAACGGUAAAACGGCUACUUCAUAACAAAAUAAUAAUGACUAAAACGUAACAUUUCAAACAUAAGUGACUAAAAUGUAAUAUGAGACAAACGAAAGUAACUAUUUUUGCAGUUUACCCUAAAUACAAAUAGCUUGAUAGGUUUUAUUAUUUUAUUAUUUUGUUAUCUUUAUAGAAUAUAUUCUUCUGGGUUCUCUCGUCCACAAGUCAUCCAGUGAGGCCAACAAUAAAUCGAAAAAGAAUCUUGGAAUUAUUGACUUUAAUAUUUUAGUUUUUUUUUGUUAAAUUACUCCUAAAAUGAAAAUGGUUAAAUUUUGUAAUUAGUCCCAUAUUUUUAUUUUAUCAAUUGAAGUCCCUUUAUUUUUUUAAUUGGUUAAUUUUAGUCGUAAUAUUUUUCAAAUUUUGAAAUUUUAGUCUUGACUCCAAUAGUAAUAAAUAAAUCUGUUGGUUAAAUUUAAUUACUCGUAUUGUACUAUGCUUAUAGUCGCAAUAUAAAUGACAAGUUGGCAUAACAUUAUUCAUAUGAUAAUACCUUUAGUGCAUUAAAUUUUAGAAAUAACAAAGCUUAAUGAAUUUAACAAUUAUUGUUUGAUGAUAAUCGAAAAUUUUAAAAUUUGAAAAAUUUAAGAAGUUAAAAUGACCAAAUAAAAGUAGAGAGAAUAAAUAGACAACUUUUACUAAAGACAAGGACAAAUAGCAGAAUUUAAACUAAAAAAUUGAAAAUAAAAACGACAUAAAUUUUCAAAUAAAACGAGGUGAAAAUGAUAUCUUCAACUGCGGAUGAAUGAAAAGUUUAAACAUUAAAGUCAUAAUUUUUUUUUGUCUUUUUGUUGAAUUACAAGUGAAUGAGAAGCUCUAAAAAUAAUACGAGUAGCGUAACAUCUAAAAUGAUGAACAAUUUAACUAUUAGAGAUUUUUUUUUAAGAGGGUUUUUUUUUUGCAUUAAAAAAAAUGAUCCUACAUUUCUUGCAGAAGAGAAAUGAUGAACAAAGACACAUUCUUAGCAUUUUUUUUCAACAAUUAUUGAUUUCAAUUUGAUUCAUCAUUUCAAUCCUCACCAAAAAAACUCUAAAAUUAGCCAGAAAAAUCAACAGCUAAAAUCUUAAGCAGACCAUCAAAACAAACACCUUUAUCAUCACCACCGCCCAAUCUAAUCAUCGCUUUAAUAUCUUCAUCUGAAGCCGAAAACCCAGCCCAGUUCAUAUAACUUUUCAAAUCUUCGUGGCUUAAUCUUCCAUCUCCAUCUUUAUCCAUAACCUUGAAAACAUCUUCCAUUACACCGUAACUUGAUACCUUCUUUUUGUUAUUAUACCCUCCUAAAACGCGUUCGAACUCGUCGUACUCCACGAAUCCGUCGCUGUUUAAAUCCGCUAACGAAAUCAUCGUCCCGAUCAUUUCGUCGGCAUCUUCGGAACCGUACGAAAAUCCAGCGUAAAAUCUUCUUAAAUCGUCUCUGCUUAUCUUCCCGUCGCGAUCCGCGUCGAGUACCUCGAAUGCCGAUCUGAAAUCGGUUUCCGGUGCCGGAACUCGAUUUUCCGGCCGUCUCAAGUUUCUUUCCGACGGACACAUUUUUUUGUUUUGUCUUUUUGGGGGGAAGGGUUUGAUUACUGGCAAAUAACUUGAACAAUUUGGCUUUGAUUUUCAAGCCAUAUUUAUAGAGGGACGAAAGUGGGACCCCCGUAAAAUUGGAGAUUCUUUUAGAAUUGUCAACACACGAGUUUUUUUUUAGGGAAGAUGCCACCUAAGAUAUUUGCCAUUCGAUCAUUCGUAUGGAGUGACGUUAUGACAUAACAGGUUAAAUUCUGAUUCAAGUCUCUAAAAUUUUCUAAAAUUUAAACUUUAGUCCAAUUCCUCUAUUUUUCAAAAUUAAAAAUAAAUGUCUAAUUGUUAACAUCGUUAUACUUCUUUUUUUAAAUUCUGAUCCAUUACAAUGUCAUAUUUUCACAUGGUUACAAAAUUAUUACUUUUUUUUAUUUUAAUGGUAUUAACGAUUGAACUUAGAUUUUUAAAUUUAAAAAGGAGAUAAUUAAGUUUUUAGAAAUAAAAAUAGAGGGUUAAAUCCUAAAUGUACAAAGAGUACAACAACUUGGAACAUAUUUUAACAAAAUAUAUAAUUAUUAAAAUAAUUUGAUAUAUUGUUAGUAAAGUGAAGUUUGUAAAAUCGAAUUAUAUUAAUCAGGUUAAGUGUAUUUAAAACACGUGAAUUAAGUCUUAAAUAGUAUGCUCUUAUUGCAUGAAGACCUUAGAUUUGACAUUUUAAGAAUUAACCCUCUUAUAUUUUAAUAACAAUUUCUUUUUUAUUUUAACAUAUUAAAUCUAAUUUGUCCAUAAAAUAAGUAUAUACAUAUUUAAAAUUUGAUUCUCGUGUUUUAAAAAUGUUUCAUUUCAAAUCCCAGCUGUCAUGUAAUGACCAAGUUGACAUUAGGUUGAUUGUAGGACCUGAUUAUUACGAUACUAUUAUUGAUACUUUGAGGAUUCAAUUGAAACACUUUGAAAUUUAGGGGCUAAUUUGAAAGAUGAAGCAUGAUUUGGGGGGUUAUAGAAAAAUUAUCUCAUAUUUUUUCUUUAGGUUUAGAUGGAUUUUCUUUUAUGGAGAUUUGAGUGGUAGGUUGUGGUCAUAGGUCACGUGGGGGAUAUUUAUAGUGUUCAUUUUUGGCCUUCUAUUAUUGAAGAGUUUUGAGCCCCUCAAAUUGUUUUUCUUUUUAACAAAGAAUACAAAAUUUUGACUCUUUUUUUUAAGAAAAAAAUUGACAAUCGAGGAUGUGCGAUCAACAAUUCCCAAGCUUAGUUAGAGCAGGUAAGCAAAGGAAGAGACAAGGAAGCAGCAGGGUCAUUCAUCCCCUAAAAAUUGGUAGAUUUGUUAUUUAGCGCUUUAAAUGUUUAUAAAAUUAUAUUUUUAACUCUCAAUAUUUUAAAAGUCAUCUCUCAUCCCCUAAAACAAUGUUUUAACAUUUUCCUUGCAGGUGAGGGUGUGUCCCUUAACCUAAAUGAAAAAAAUAAAUAAAUAUGACCCCUCUCAAAAAUAAAUAAUUUAAUUAUACAUUCUAACAUAAAUUUUUAAUCUUGAAACAAAAUUCAUGACUUCACCUUCACAAUAUUUAAAUAAAAAAUGUUUACAAUAAAUUAUAAAAUUAGUUCAAUUGGUUUAAUUAUUAAUUUUUUUAUUUUGGUUUUCAACUUUUUAUCGAUUCACGAUAAUUUGCUUUAGACUCAAUUAUAUAUCAUCGAUUUUAAAUUCAAUUUAUUUAGUCAAUCCGACCAAAUUCUAAUAUCACUAUAUUUAUUAGGGGUUAUUUUUUAUAUAAAUUAUUUUAAAAUAAAGUACAUUCUAUAGUUAAAUUUGUUUUUAAUGAAAAAAAAACAAAAAUGUAACGGAGAGUCAACACGGCUCACUUGAUAACCAAGUAAUCAAACUUGCUACAAUUCCCAUAUGAAAAUGACGAUAUAAUUUUUAUAUUUGUUAAUGCAUAUUUUAUAUAAAUUUAAAAAACGUGUUUAGUUGAUUGAGUCUUAGUUUAAUUGGUAUGAAUAUUGUUGUCAAUUUAGAAAUACGUGAAUUCGAGUUUACUGAGGUGCGUUAUUCUCUAAUUUACGAAUUGAAGAGGAGUUUUGAGUAGUUCUAGAUAUUAUAAAAGAAAAAUCUUGUUUAAAUUAUUAUAAUUUUUUUAAAAAGAUGUGACUUGUACGUGAUAUUUUUUUUUUGUGAUCAUUUUUUUUAAAUCAUUGAUCGGUCAACUUUUAAUUUGAAUUUUAGAGUUGUUUUUAAAAUAUUAUAUAUUAUUAAAUUUUCAAUUUUUUAAAAAAGAAAUUUAAGAAUUUUUCUAGAAUAUAACUUUGUUACCGGAAAAUAUAUAUAUCUUUUGAAUUUUUUUAAUUCUCGAAAUAUUUAACUAAUUUUUUAAAUUUCUUUUAAAUUUUUAGGAAUUUUAAGAAUAUAUAUUUUAGAAUUUUUAGGAAUUAGUAUUUCUAAAAAUUUCCCUUUCUAAUUUUUAUAUAUAAUUUUAAAAACUUUCAGGAAUUCAUUUUUUGAAAUAUAUUAUAUAGUCUAUAUAUAUUUUUAAUUUUUAUGAAUUUGUAUAUGUAUAAAUAUUCUUUAAAUAUGUUACAUCAUCAAAUGACAUUUAUAGAGAAGCGCCAAAUGGCGUGUUCUAAUUAACUGUUUGUACCAUAUUGUUAACUUUUAAACUAAAAUAUUUAGAUAUAAAAGAAAUUUUAAUUACGAAAAUUAGAAAAAGAAAUAUAUAAUUCAAGGCUUAAAUCAUAAAUUACUAAUUAUAUUAAGUCUCGGAUUCAAAUCACUGACACGGGCAAUCUUCUCUUAUACCAGCUUUAUUGUAUGUAUAUUAUUAAAAAGAAACAAAUAAGUUCAAAUUUUGUUUCAAUUUAAACUUACUUGGUUGAUUUAUCUAAAAAUAGGAGGGUUAUUUAGAUCAAAUUCCAGGGACCUCUCACCAGAAGUUAUCAUGAAAUGCGAUCAAAUGCAAAUACCACAAGCAUUCAAUUAGAUUAUACACUGAUGAGUUAACAAAGUUAUUGCAGUAAAUGUUGGCCAAACUUUUUUUAAUCAUUUUACAGAUGUGAAUUCUCUCCCUAUAAUCAGUAUACGAGCCGGAGCAUCGGGGAAUGGUCGUCUGUUGGUACAGUUUCAUGUGUAUGUAGGGGGGGAAACCCGGACGAAGUAGAAAUCUAUUCGGCCAUAUGAAUUUAAUUGUGUUCUAAUGCACUUCGAAUUGACACCGGAGGGCCUUGAACGGCACCUCUGGAGAUAAGAUCGUGAUUAAAGAAUAACACAAUAACAGUUAUAUCGUCGUGAAAAUGGCGUCGAACCUUUUUGUCGAUCUUACGAAGAUCCGAAUAUCUCAUUUCUCGUUUUCUCGCUGCUUCUUGUAGGGCAGCCUUGACUAGCCUUUUGGCACUGCCCUGCAUUCGUAGAGAUACGUGAGCACAGUAAUACGACCAGCUGAUUGCACGAAACAAAAACCGCAAAUGCUAAUACACUAAGGGGGAGCUAACAACAUGCUGUCAACCAAUAACCGAUAUAAAACAGUUCAAAGACUCGGAAAAAGGGGAUAGGUUACAAAAAUGAUCAGAAACCUGAAGUUCUAUAUCGACACCAACCAGAAGACACCUAUAUUGAAUUUCAAAUUUGGAGGUCAUCUAAUCCCUAACAGCAAAUAGUGCGAAAACACAAGCUUUGAUGCGAGAAUUUAUGUAUUCGAUGAACAUGGAAAUAAGGACAAAAUCUUACCGCACGUGGAUGACUAUGGACAAUAGCCACAGCUUUUUCGUUGCUCAAGUGUUCCCAUAGACCGUCAGAAGCAAAUAUAAGGAAAGAAUCAUUUGGGUGGAGAGCAUGGGAAAUAAUAGUUGGAUUGGCACUUAAUAUCGGCAUAUUCAUCGGUUCAGGAAGCCUGAAUCUUGCAUUAAUCGGUUCCCUGUUAUACUGUGCGUGUUUCAUAUAAACAUCACCUAUCGACCUAGAAACCUGCACCACAUACAAUCACGGGAUUGAAGAUAUGUUCAGUGAUUAAUGAACAACAGACAUAAAUGAUAAAAGAAAUAUGACAAAUGACACCUAGGCCAAAUUUGCCGGUUUCCACAGAUAAUGAAGCUGAAGCUUUCAAAACACGGGAAAGAUUAAAAUUGAAGGAUGUAUACGUGCAUUAAUAUGCGGUAAAAGUACCAUGGAGGCCCUUAUACUAAGAGCUAAAUUAUAUUUUACCCCUUUUACUAAAAGAUGAGGAAAUUAAUCCCUGUUCAUUAGUUUAAAGAGCAAAUUGAUCAUUUAUAUUAAAAUUUUCAUCAAUUUCUAUUAUUAAAAACUAGUAACUAAACAUUUAAACAUGACAUGCCACAUAUACUCAUUCUGACAAAAAGGAUUGAUUUUUAACAGUAGAAAUAGAUAAAAUUUUUAACAAGAAGACUAGUUUACUUUUUAAUCUAAAUUAAAGGGAUUAAUUAACCCAUUUUUUGAGUAGAGAGGCAAAAUACGAUCCAACUCUUAGUACAAGGACCACCAUAGUACUUUUACCAUUAAGACGCUCAAUUUCAGAAGAUAAGAAGCAAGUGUUUAUAUCAUAACCUGAAUAAUGCCCUUUACUCUCCAAACUCCAUGCUUGAGAACAACAAUUUGCGGAUCAGUCGCGUGUAAUUCCUUGAGUUCAUGUCUAAUAGCCUCGAUAUUAGCAUUGUGUUCAGUUGACAACUGCAUAGCAGCCAUUCCUCCGGUGUUGCCAACUUUCUUGCCGAGCACAACGCGUGAAUCACCGAGAUUUGCAAUAAAAAGUGUUUGCUGAUAUAUUACCCCAACCAGACAGCACGUCCCGACCGUUGCCAUAUUUGGUCGAGUACUCCAUAACUCCGACACAAGGGCCGUAAACCCUUCUUCGGUUUGUCGAAAAGCUCUUUGAAUGGUCUCAGCAGUGACAACUCCUUCCGAUUCGGCUGUUAUGGCUGCAUAAACACAAAGCUUAAGAAUACCAACAACGCAAUGCCGCACUAAGAUCUGUCUCUCCCGAAAACUCAAAACUAAAGUUCCAUGAAGGCCCUUUUACUAAAAGUCAGAUUGCAUUUUGGCGUCUAUAUUUGAAAAAUAGGCAAAUUAGUCUCUGUAUGUUAGCAAGAGGUACACAUGACAUGCCAUGUAUCACUGCUUGGUUAUUCUGUCAGGCAUACUAGUUUUUCAAAAUACAAAGGAUGAAAUUUUUUAAAGAAAGGACCAAGUUACUCUUUAAUCUAACGUAUAGGGACUAAUUUGUCAUUUUCUAAAUAGAGGGAUAAGAUGCAUUCUAACUCCCAAUUCAGGGGCUUCCAUACCAUUCAACAUCAUGCAUUUCAUAUAGCCACAGAGAUCAACAAAUGAACUUAAGACCAUUUAAAACUACAUUACUCCGAUUCUUCGGUAUGAUCUUCGUAAGACUCUCGAAAUAUAACCUUAUCAGAACUAUACAAGUAUCUAAUAAUCACACUCAAGUUCAAUUAAAUUGUAAUCUUAUUGGCUACUAAAUUUUCUAAAUUCAAUAAAACCACCAAUCAAAAGUCAAAUUUCUUUAAAAAAUAAAAAUAAAAUGGAUGAAAAUUAAUACUAUACAGUUCACAUGUACCGAAUAGCAAAACCCUGAAAAUCAACAAAUGGAAAUUGAAAUUAUUUUUUUUUAUAAGUGGAAUUGUGGGCAAAAAUUUUAGAUCCAUGAAAAAGGACGGACCUCGAAAGUGGCUGAACAAGUUAUCGCAAACAUAACGCGCCGCCUCAGGGCCGCCGUGUCCGUCAUAGAUCCCAACGAAGGUACCAAAUUGGCCGGACUCGAUCUGGCUUUGGUCCUCGAGCACUUGGUUUGCUUGGAUCACGGCCAUGGAAAAUUCACCGGACCCAUAUUUCCCUAUAUCACGAAACCAAAGCAACCCAUCUUUACCUUCCCUUGAGCCACCACUACCACCGCCAUCGCCGCCGCCAAGGACGCCGUUUGUUUCGUGACUUUCUACUUCAUGCCCCAAUGGGUUCCAACAAACCGAGAGCAGAUUCAUUAAUCCCUGAAGCAUCAGACAUCUCUCAUUAAAAAAAACCCUCACAAAACCCAAAAGCCCCCUCAAAAUCCUAAAUCCACCGUAUAAUCCCCAUUUUUUUAAGAUUUGAUCUAAGCUUUUUUUUAAAAUAUGAACCCCUUUUUGGUCUUUUUAAAUACCCCCAAAAUUCCCUAAAACUGAGGAAUCAAAGAAUGAUAUGAUGAUUAAUUGCAAUUAAAAAACACAUUUAAAAAUAAAACCCAAAGAUCUUUCCAGUUGGGAAGUGAAUGGAAGUAGUGGUGGUCGGCGGUGGAUGAUCGGCGGAGGUGUCGGUGGUCUUGGGUGGUUUUCUUUUUUGGGGUGUUAUUUUUCAAGCUCUUUAUUGUAGUUUUUUCUUUGUUUUUUUCAGUUUUCUUGUUUAUUCAUAUUUGUAGGCCUCUUUUGUUUUUUCUUUAAAAACCUAACAUUUUGAAUUCUUAAAGUAAAUUUCUAUGUUUCUACAGAAUCAAAUUAUUGAAAUUUAAUCUACUCUGUUCAUUCAAAUUAUUACUGAAUUCAGCAUUCAAAACAUGUUUUAUUUAUAAAAAUGGAGAAUAAGAAAUACUUAAUUAUUAAGUUAAUGAUUUUAUUUUACUUUACUUACACUUUGAAGUUACAAGUAGAUUUUUUUUUACUAAUUUUUUUAAUUAUAGUAUUUAUAUUUCGAAAUAAAUAUUUUCAAACAUAACCAACGGCUAUAACAACCCAAAAUAACCAAGUGAAGACCUAGGAAAUUAUUUUGGACCGAUAGAAGUUAGAUUAUAAUUUUUUUAUGAAAAUUAAAAUUUUAUAAUUUCUAAAUCACAAUUUAUCAUUUUAAAAAUAGUCGAAAUAUAAAUUUUAUCUUGUACUAAUCUAUAAUUUUUAAAAUUUUUAAAGGGUUAAAACUUAAUUUUUCUAUUUUAAAGGGGUCAAGUUCUUAUUAGCUCCUUGAGUGUCGUUUAUUGUAAAGAGUGAAACUCAAAUUUUUUAUCAAUUAUCAAUCCAUCUUUAAAGUUUUUAAAAUUUUUAAUUAAAUCCUCUAAAACUUAAUGCUAAAAUCUACUACUAAACAAAUCAAACCGAGACUAAAUUGAAAAAAGAAUACUUCAAAAUCAAACACAUUUCGAGCUUUUUCAUAAAUACCAAUAAAAAGAGAGAAACAAUGCUUUUGAAACAAUAAUAAAUAUUUAAUACCAACAAUUUGAUGCAAAUAUUUUUAAAAUUUUUAUAUUUAAAAUUACGUGUUAUAUUUAGAUAUUUUUUUUUCUUUACUCAAAUUUGCUUUGACUAAGUUUUAUUAAUAUUUAUAUAAUUUUAUCAUUAAAUUCAAAUAAAUUUUACAAUUAUUAAAUAUUAAUUCGUGCAAAUUUGUUACAUCUUUAUCUAGAGUAUAGUAUUGAAAUGACGGAUUCAAUUAAUCGAAUUAAUUAAAAUUUUAAAAUAUUUAACUGUUGAUUGAAUAAUUUUUUGAAAAAAUAAAUAAUUAAAUUAAAUUAAAUUUAAUUUGUUCAGUUUUCAAUUAACCGAACUAGAAUGACAGUUUUUGAGGUUUUGAGUUUUGUUAUUGUUAAUCUUUAGAUAUUUCACAUUUUAUUUCAACUUAUUUUUCUUUGUCUUACUAUUUAUAUAAUUUGGAUUUAACCUUCCUAAGUCCAUUGACAUUAUAUAUAUAUUAUUAAAUUUAAUUAAGUGGUGGAUUCAAUUAAUUAAUCAAUUUUAAAUCCAAUUGAAUAAUAAUUGAAAUUUUUUUAAAAAUUUAACAGAUUUUCGAUCGAAUUAAUUUCAAUCAUCAUUCGAUUAAUCGAAUUAAUUCAAUUUUAAUUUUGGGCUUGCACACAACUAAAAUCAAUGUUUAUGGUAUAAGUCUAUUAAAUUGGACCAAACUAUAAGAAUAUUAAAUAGAGCUACCUCUAAUUUGGUACUUUUGAGAACGAGUUUUCAUCUAAUUAAGAUACCUAAACAUGUCCUAAUAUAAAUUAUCAAGGGCUUAACUAUAAAAUUAACCCUUUAAUUAUACCAAUGUUUUUUACUCAGGUAACUGAAGUUUUUUUUUUAAUUAAAAGUGCUAUCAGUUUUGUCUUAUAUUUUCCUAAAAAGUGUGUAACGUACUAUAAAAACAUGGCACAUGCCAUGUUCUUAUUAGCUAGUAUCAUGUAUUGGGAUAAAAUGAUAUGAAAUCGUCAAUUUUUACAAAAAAAAAAAAAACUUUAGGUGAAUUUUAGAUUUAAUUUAUAUACUUUAAUUUGGUCGUUUUCAGUAAUUGUAGUUUUUAAUUUUUGAAAUUCCAAUCAUGAGCAAAUGGUAGCCAUUAUUUUAUUUCCAAUAUCUCAUGUGAUAGACAUAUUAUCACAUGUGUAAUAUCAUGUCGGUAUGUUAUUUUUAAGUAUUAAUCACAAAAAAAAGCCAGUUAAAGGAUUUAAUGAAUUUCUUUUAUAUCAUGACUAAAUUUUUAAAUUCGAAAACUAUAAGUAUAAAAAAUAAUAAAAUAAAAAAACACGUACUAAACUUACAACUUUACGCAUAGUUAAAAGUAUAAUUUAACCAAAUGAAUUUAAAUGCUAUCAAAAUUGAAAUAUUAAAGCUCAAAAUUUUCAAGGACUACAAUUGACCCAUUCAAAAAGUACAUGGACUAAAAUGGACGAAACAAAAUAUAAGGACUAAAUUCACUACAUAAGCAUAUUACAGGGACUGAUAGUAGAAUGUACCAUAUAUAUUACGUGCUGGGAAGAUUAAACGCGUGCAUGCGAGAAGAUCUAUUCCAUUGACACCAAAACGCGUGGGAAACAUUCGGCAGGAACGCGGUUUCGUGUGUGUUAAUUUUGAGCCGUCCGAUUAAUAUAAAAUUUAGCGGUUUGUUUCUCCCAUUACAACCCGAAUUAAUUUAGACUUGGAACUCAUUUUAACCCUAAACUAUCUAAACUCAGAAUAAUUUAAACAUAAAUAAACUCAAAUAAUGAUUUAAAUUCAAAAUAAUUUAAGCUCAAAAUAUUAAAUAUGAAGUGAUAAAAAAUCAAAAUAAUCUAAAUUUAUAAUGAUCAAUUUUGAAUAACCUAAAUCUUAAACGACUCCAGUCUAGAGUUAAUUCAAACAGGGAAAAAAAAACCAUACUCAAAAUUAACCAAAACAAAAUUAAUAGUAAAUUAAUAGUAUUUUAAAUGGGAAUUAACUCAAACCAAAAUUAAUCCGAUUUAUUUAAUUAAAAAUAUAGUCUUAUUUGUUAAGAUUAAAUUUGCCUACAAGCCAUGUAUGUAAUAGUAUUGUAUAUCGAUUUUGAUCAGUCUCGAUUUAUAUUAUUAUGUUUGAAGUUGAAUAAUAUAUAUAAAUUCGAUAUAAAUAUACUCAAAUUCUUUAUGUUUUUCAAAAAUGUUUAAUGAAAAUAUUCUCCCAUUCAUAUAUAUAUAUAUAUAUAUUAAAUAUGAAUAUUUUAAGAAAUUAAAAAAAAUCUAAUAGCAGAAUCCGGAUUAGUUCAUAUUAAAAAUACCCAGUAGAGGAUUAAAUAUAAUAGGUAAAAACAGUCCCCUUAAAUGUUUAUAUUGAGUAAAUUAGUUCAUCUUAAAAAUCGAAAUAAAUUUAAUUAUUGUCAAUUUUGAGAGUGAGCAAUUAAAGGUAAUUAAUCACAAAAAUUAAUGUUUUAAGUCAACUGUAGAUAAUUUUGAUUGAUAUAAUAAUAAAUUGAUCUCUUAAUGUUUACAUAUUCAACCAAUUUAGUCUUGAUUUUAAAAAAUUAUCUAAAAAAUAUAUAUAAAAUUUUUAAAUAAUAAGUUAAUCCUUUUAUUUUAAUUUUUCCAAAUUUUGUCAUCGUAACUUAUGAAAACUGAGAAGUUAGUACAUUUUUUAUUGAACACAUGAUUUGAAUUUUUUUUUGUUAAUUUGUUUUACAUAAUUUGUUGAACUAUUGAUUUCUUACUAAUUCCAUUUAUAUGAAUUACUGAAUUUUUGAUUUCUAGGUUAGUGAUUUAGCAUAAGUUUUAUCAGUGUUACUCUUGGACUAAUUUUUCCGUUUUCGUAAAAUAAACCAAAUUCUAAUAAACUAAAGUAGAGGGACUGACGUCUAAAUUUUCAUAAAGUAGAAGGAUAAUAGUAAAUUAUACCUUCUUUGGUAGUUUACCUUCAUAAUUCACGUGACCUACAAAACUCAGAAGCAUGUGUUUUUCAUACAUAAUGUACGUACCUUGGGUGUAAUUAUAACAUGGUUCUCAAACAAUGAUUCACAUUCUAAAUUAGUCCUCGAACUUUGAAAUAUUCUAAUUAAAUUCUCAAAACAUCAUAUCAUUAUAUCAAUUAAGUGAACAAAUCGACACGUCACCAUCAAAGGAUCCGACAGGAACUUGACCGUCUCGAUAAACACAUGAGGUCUCAAAAUAAUGCUCAAAUGGUUUUUUUCAUCGGGAACAACACUUGGAUUGAGAGCGAGACCUAGAGGAUCGCCAAUUUUUUGGGCACCACUGCUCGGUCGACCCUCUAUCGUACGAGGUGCUCAACGAGCUCAAAUAUUACGUUCUAGUAACCACAUAGUAAAUUCAAAAUAUUACCAAAUAAAUAAAUUAAGAAGUAGAAUAAUGUGGAUUAAAACUGACCAAUUAUACUAAAAUUCACAUAUGUCAACAAUAUAUGAUGGGAUUUAAAAAUCUAUAUGUAUAAUAACGUAUGACAUGUCUCCAAGAAUACAUAUCUUCAGUGUAAAAGGAUGUGUGUAAUAUAUGACUAUGUAGUUUUUUUCUGUCAAAUAUAUCAUUUAUAAAAUACGAGGACUAAAUUUCAAUAAAUUAAAGGGACUGACUUCCUUAAUAUUGAUAAAUAAAGGGAUGGAAUUUAAAAUUAAACCUCUUUCUUGGCAAUUUAGGGCAAUGUUCUUGUGACCUUUAUAGUUCACGUGACCUUCAAAACUCAGAAGCAUGUAUCACAUGGGGUAGCCGCGAAAAAACAACCUCCAUUAGUUUUAAAAUUGGGGUUAAUUCCGUAAGACAUCCUCAAAUUAUGGUUAAAAUUUUAAAUUGGUUCCCAAACUUUAUUUUAACGGAACAAAUUUGAAGUACAUGAAUCAAAUUAUAAACACCUAUGCAUUUACUGCAGAUACAAUUUAAAUAUGGUGUAUUUAUAACCCUCAUAAAUUUUGUUGGCAUUUUUUGUUACUUUUAACAUAUCAGAUUCAAACAUUCAUGCGAUAGCUUUAUACAUAUUUAUAAUUUGAUCCACGUACUUCAAAAUGCUUCAUGUCAAGUCCGAACUGACAUUUAACAACUAAAUUAAUAGAAGAAUCUAAUUGAUACAGUACCGAUACUUUGAUAACUCAAUUAUAAUGAUUUAAAGUUUAGAAACUAAUUUAGAUUCCGAACAAUUUUUUAAGGAUAUUAGGUGCAAUUAACCCUAAAAAUUAAUGUCAAUAAGUUUGAUAUUCAAGUCUAUUUGCAAUAUUUUCUCUGUGAGUUCCAAGUUCUUUUGUGGAAAAAGUGCCUUAUAAUUAAGGUUAAUUACUUUUGAAGUAUAAGGACAAAUAGUUAAUAAUGAAGAGGUGAAUUUUUAAAGUAAGUGGACUAAAAUGGUAAAUAAUAACACCAAGUAGGACCUUAUCUGAUCAGCACACAGUAAGUAGGCUUUAUUUAUGAAAGUCCUAAAAGUUGUUGUUUUUAGCUAAAUAACAAAACAACUUGUUGGGUGUUUCUGCCUUCUUUUUAUUGAAAAUUUUUCAAAUUUUAAGGCAUUGCUGAACUGUGCGUCACCGUCACCGUUGUCCUAAAAGAGGGAUUUCUUUUUUCCGAUUAAAUUUUUUAAAGUCGAUAUUGGUUUCUUUUAAUAACGUUUAAAGUUAUGUUACUACUUUAUAUUAUGUACUUAUUGGAGAGGAAAAAAAAAGUGAAAGUAUUAUGAAAGUUUUUACAUAAAAAAUUAGACUAUAUUUUACUUAUUUACUAAAAAAUAACAAUAAAAGUAAAUGGAACUUUUAAUGGAAAAGACCAAUUUUAAUAUAUAUUGGAAAAAAACAUUUAAAUAAAUUUUUAAUGUUAAACUUUGGGGUAUUUUGGAUGGAAUAAUUCUUUUACAAAGACGAUAGAGUGAUAGGGUACUAAUCCAAUCUGAUAGUAUAAAGGUGGUUAAAGCAAUUUAGAAAGGAGUUUCAGAUGUUUCGAAUUCUACUUUGAUCAGGAAGAUCAUUUAGACCUUACAACGUAUAAGACAUAUCUUAAAGGAGAGAAUUAGUUGCAGACUAUAUAGCUAAUAUGAUAUCUGAUAGGGAGGUUGAUGUGUUAGUUUUUGUUGAAAUUCCUACAUAACUUUCAGCAGUUUUAUAAUCUGAUACAACUAAUGACUUUUGUGAUCUUAGUAAUUUAAAUUAUUAUUAUUUUAUUACUGCUCUCAAUUAAACCUAUUUAAAGAGUAGGGUUUUUAAAAACAUAUUUUCUAUCGAUUUCACCUAAAUAUAUUUAUUCAAGAGUAGAAAUUUCUAUUAAAAUUUAAUGAUACUUAUGUAUAAACAUUAUUAUGGAAUAAUUUUGUGGGUCCAUGAAAUUUAAUGAUACUAACUUUAAUUUUUUUCUAUUUUUAAAUUUGUAUGAUUUUAUAAGAAGUUGCUGGUAAACUAUUUUUAGGAUCGGAUUGGUUAAAGCAGGGGUUCUACCUAAAAUAGAAAAUUAUGCUUCUAGCCCAUGAUGUUUUAUAAAAUUUAAGUAUAUAAAUGUCAAAUUUAUAAUUUGACCCUAAAAAAUUAAAAUUUUUAAUUUAAUCUUGCUAAAAACUAUAAUUAUUUAUAUUAAUACAAUAAUAAAAUUGCGUUUGCACUCCCAUAAAAAUAUAUAAUUUACUUAAUCUCGACCCAAAUUUUUUUUUUGACUUUGCUCUGAGGGAUGAAUUCGAAUUCACCAAUAAGAAUUUUUGAGUUGGAAUUAAAAUUAAAAAAGAAAAACUAAAUUUCACAUCAAAAUGCAUAAACUCCACAAGAGAGAUUAACCAAGCUUAGUACUGCAAAAUAAUAAAACUAAAAUCCAAGUGUAAAAAGAUUAUACCAUUUUUGCCUACCAGUUCUUUCAUCUAAGCUGUCAUGGCUUCCCAAAACCUUUUUAGUUUUCCGAUAAUACCAUUCGCCGGCUUUCCGUCUCCGUCAUCCUCCAACUUCUCCGGCAAGUUCUUCACCGAAGCACCAAUGCGAUUAAAAGCUUUAUAAAGCUCAGGGUAAAGCUCAUUCAUGGAAUCCUUAAAUUUCUUCGACACAUUAACUUUCUUCUUCUUCGACCCAACCGGAGCAUCACCGUCGAAUAACCCGACCCGAACCCGGCCGUUCCGAUAAGCAACACAAGCUUUCAAUAUAACACUCGCAUGGUCUCUAAAAUGCGCGGCGAUAAAACCCUCGAAAUUCCUCGCCGGUUUUUUCAUCAAAUACAGCAUCGUUUUACAAGACAAAGCGAAAACAUCGGCGUUGUAAGAUUCCCAAGACCACGCCGGUUUAAUCCCCGGUUCAUUGUAAUACGGUUUCUCGUUAAGAACCAGUCCUUGUAACGAAAGCAAGACUUGUAAAAUCGUCGAUUUAUCGGGACACCACCGUUCAGUCCCUUUACCGCCCCAAGUGUUCAAUAAGCUUAAACAAACGUACCCACUAUUGUACAAAUUAGGGUUUAAUCUCAAACCAAAAGAACGGUAAUAUACUUUGGGUGGAUUGUUGGGGUAAUCGGAAGGGAACUGUAAAUCGAAGAAGAAAAGCCCAUUGUGAUACGGUGUUUUUGAAGCUCCAAUAAUGGCGGCUCUUAAAAGAUCAAUCCUCCCUUCAUAAACCCUAACGAAAAUUGAUGCUGGUAAGUUUUUUUCUAAGAUUUCCCAUUCUUUCAUGAUCCUUUUCAUGGUGUUCCUGUUAUUGAUCAUCAUCGUUCCAUGGCUGUUGCUCUUUUGGUUCGGCUUGGAUUGAUGAUAAUAAUAAUGAUCUGAAUAAUCAACAACGCAAUCGAAUUGCUUGAACUUAUUAACACCAACUUGCUCGUGCCCUGCAAUUAUGAACAUGAAGAACAUGCAUAUGAUUUUAACCAAAAUUUCUUCAUAAAAAAAACCCUGAGUUUUAAGAGUGGAAUGAAUUGAAAGAGGUACCUAAAGCCAUUUAGUUUUCAAUGGCGUCAAUGCCAACGACAGCGGCAGCGGAAGAGUGAUACAGAGAGGUAAGAGUGAAGAUAAUAACUCAAAAUCUCUCUUUCAUGACUGAAAAAAGAAAAUAAUUUUUUUUCAAUAGGGUAAGUUUAGGGUUUUCAAGAGUUUUAAUAGAAGUUAAUUUCUAUGGUUAGAUAUAAUUAUUAUUUUUAUAUAUAUGGAAUUUAAAGUAUAUAUGAAAAUUGGAAAAUUUUCGAAUUGAAAAAAAAAUUGUGUUUAUGGUUAUUAUUUGAUAUUUGGGUAAACUAUACGCAAGAUCAUUAAACUUUCAGUAAAUUUAUGUUUUGGAAAUUAAAUUUAAAAAAGUUACAAAAUAAUCACUGAUUUAUUUGAAUGUUUUUAUUUAAGUCAUUAAACUAUUAAAAUAGUUGUUGUAUGGCUUUAUUUAUUUGUUUGCACCAAUCGAAAAUUUUCCUUUUGCUUCUUUCCUAUCAAUUAGGUUUUUUUUUUUUUAAUAAAACAACUUUGAAAGUAACGAGUCUACAAAUUAAAAUUCAAACAACUUUUUUCAAUCUCCGAAACUGAAAGUUAGAUUGAGUUCAAUCUAAUGUAUGUUUUUCUACUAGCCGAUAGGUGUUAGUCUACCAUAUCAAUCAUUAAGUUGUCGCUUAGAGUUCGCUAAUUGGACUGUUUAAAAAAAAACUUAACAGACUAGUGACUUAAAUAAAUACUUUUAGAUAAUUCAAUAACUUAAAUUAAUUAAUUUUUCCAAAUAGUUUUCAGUGACCAUUUUGUAACUUUUUGAAGUUAAAUGACCAAAAUAUAAAUUUAUUAAUAGUUUAAUAAACUAAUAAAAUUCAAUCUACCUAUAAUUUAAUUAUAUUUAAUAAUUUAAAUCUUUAGGUUAAUUACAGAAAAUAAAAUUCUAUUAUUUUAUUAAAUAUAAACAUGUAAAUUACGUCUAAUAGCAUUGUUGAUACGUUGACAAGGAUAAGUUUAUUUUAAUUAUUAUAUCUAAUUUUAUUUUUUAUUAAAAAAUAAUUUUAUAUUUAAGAAUAUUAUCUACUUUACCUUCAAAUAUUUAUCCCAAGUUUUAAAGUAUAUAGUUAAUUAUUUUUAAUUAUUUAGUUAAAUUUAUAAUCUAUUGAUUCAAAUCUCUAUCGCAAAACAUAUUAAAAUUUAUCUUCCCUUUUGAAUUUAAUUAAUUUUAAAAAGUUUUAACUCGAUUGACAUGAGCAGAGGCAUAGCCAGGGGGUUGGCAUGGGCCCCGGCCUCCCUAAAAUGUAAAAUUACAUUUUAGGCCCUUAAUUUUUUAAAAAAAUUUUAAAUUAGUAAAGGUAAAAUUUCACUUUGGCCCCCUUAAAAUUAUAAAAAUUCAAUUUAAUUCUUUACAAAUUAUAAAAAUAUAAACUAUAAAAAAUUAAAAUUUCAUCCGGCCCUUCCUAAAAAAAUUUCUUGUCUUCGCCCCUGGACAUGAGUAUUAUUGUCAAUGUAAGAGGAUAUAAGUUCGAGUGGGCUGAAGUGCAUUAUCGUCCUAUUUAUGGGUUGGGGAGGGGCUAUAGGUAGUUUUAAACAUUGUAUCAAAACGAAUAUAAUCAGAACUUACAAUGAAAUUGUUGAAAGAAAAACUAAAUUAAAAAAAUUCGUAAUGAAUUUUGAAUUCUUUCUCAAACUAAAGAUUGAUUAUAUUUUUUUAUUAUUAUUUAGAAUUUGAUAAAUACUUUCAAAAUCUUAUUAUCCUACGUAUUUAAAAAAAUAAAUUUAAUUUCUAGAUUAGAAAUUAAUUUUAAAAAUAAGCUUAUAAACAACCAUUCCUCUUUCAAUUUUUUUGAGCUUUUUAUUUUAUUUUAGGGUAAACUAUCAAAAUAGUCACUUUUAUUUUCUUUAAGUUACAUUUUAGUCACUUAUGUUUGAAAUGUUACGUUUAAGUCACUUACGCUAACAUGUCGUAUCAUUUUAGUUACUGAGCCGUUAGUUGUCGUUAACAAUGUAACGGUAAGAUGACGUGACACGUUAAAUCACCAUUUCAAAAAAAAAAUUAGGUUAAAUUAUACAAUCGGUCCCUAUAUUUUUUUUGUUUUAAGCACUUUUUUUCUUUUAUAUUCUUUUAACUUUCCCUUCUUCUUUUUUUCAUUCUCUUUUGCUUAUCCCUCUAUUUUUCUCCCUUCUCCAUCUCUUUUAACGUAAAAGAAAAUAAUUUCUCAAAACGAAUUGUAUAAUUUAACCUAAAAUUUUCAUUUGAAAUGAUGAUUUAACGUGCCACGUCAGCUUACUGUUACACCGUUAAUGAUAAUUAACACUCAGUGGCUAAAAUGUUACAAGAAAAUAACAUGAGUGACCAAAACGUAAUAUUUCAAAUAUAAGUGACUAAAAUGUAAUCUGAAGGAAACAAAAGUGACUAUUUUGAUAGUUUACCCUUUAUUUUAUUUGAAUUUAUUAUUCGAUAUAUUAUUUUUCCUUGCUUGAACUUUUAUUUUUUAAUGGAUAUAUAUGUAUAUAUUUAAAUAAGCAUCUCUCUUAACGGAAAGGCUGCUAUGACCUUUCUUCUAUUAUUUAAAAAAUUUCAAAAAUAGGAUCUAUAAGCAAUCAUCUAUAUUAAAUUAUUAAUACGUGGAAACUUAUAACAUUUCAAACAUAAUUAUAACAAAUUAAAAAAAUUAAUAUACAUAAUGUGAAAUAUAUGACUAUCAGAGCACUAAUAGCUGGAAAUUAAUGGCACAAAGCAAACAUAUGUAGGACUAAAGUAUGAUUUAGAGAUUAAAAUUGGCUACUUCUAAAUCAUUUGAAUGGUGAGGAUUAGUGUUGAAAAUUAAUGGGUGAAAAAAAAAUAGAUUGGAUUUUAAACCCUAAUCAUCGGGAUGAACAGUUGAAGAAUACACUAAUUGUCGGAUGUUCAUCGGGGACAUGAACUUCAGGCCUCCGUCCAUCAUGUGGCUCGCUACGAUCACAUUACUGAUUUCUGUCAAAUGGAAUGCAUCCCAAAAUACAUAUUUGGUUCGAUUUGAACAAAUUUUGGAUAAUGAAAAGCAUGGGAGUAGACCUCCAUGAACUCCGACUUUGUGACAACAUGCAUCGUCCGCGUUUUCAAAUCCUGUGGAAAAACAAAAUAAAACAAGAUUUCAUAUUUCACUGUCGGAUAUGAAUAUUUGCUGAGGAUGAAUAUGUUUAAUUCUUUUUAAUAAUGGAAUCGAGAUUUAUCAGUUCUCAAUUAAUUCAAACUUGAAUCAACUUAAUCAUAAAAUUCAACAACUUGAAUUGACUCUAACCCGAAGCUAACUUCAACCUAAAACAAUCCAAACUAGAAAUUAUUCAAACUUAUAAUGUUUAUACUCAGAAAACUCAAACGUCAAAAUUAAAUGACCUUAACUCAAAAUAAACUAGAUCUAAAAAUUUUAAACCCAAAAUAAUUUAUUCCAAAUUUACUUGACUCUAAUUCACAUAUGUAUUUGAAUUCCAAAAGGAUUGCACCCAUGUACUCAUAUGUGAAUUUAUAAUAUAUACAUUAUUUUUUAGAAAAAUCUCAAUAACAUAAAUGCCAUAUAUUCAAUCAGUGGUGAAUUCUGGGGCUGGUAGGAACUCGACUCUCUUUAAAAUGGAAAAAAUUUUAUUUAGGUUUUUUUUUUCUUUUUGUAGUUUAUAAAAUUUAAAUUUAGUAAUGGUAAAAUCGUACUUUAGCCUCUAAAAGGAUAAAAUUUUGAUUUAAUCUUUUAAGAUUUAUAAAAAUAUAGGCUAUUAAAAUGGUAAGAUUUAUAAAGAUACAAUUGAAUUCUGACUUCCCAAAAAUAUUUUCAGACUUUACCCUUGAUACUCGUACCGUUUAUGUUAUUCACACUUGAAUUUUUAAGGUAUACAUAUGAAAUUGUGCUCUCUUUAUCUUUUCACAUCUUUAUAUUUAAUUAGUGUGAGUUUCAAAUAUGAAUAUUUUUAAAAAAAUAAAUAAAUAAAGAGUUAAGAGUAAUAUAAAGAUAAUGCGAUAUACGCACCAUAAGAUCGAUAAUUCUGGAGGAUAUCUUUAAGCAUUGCAUGAAUAUCUGCAUAAACAAAGGUUGAAGCAGUGAGAUUGGCAGUAAGAUCCGUAAGUAGCCUCUUCAAUCUUUUGUUGUAUGAACUGAUAUCCUCGUUAAACGAAGCAAUGCAGCCUUUGGCAUUUGGAUUUUUGUCUCUUUCAAAAGGUGUGCACCCAAAUCUUGGAAUAUUUGUCACAAUAAUUUUUCUAGCUUCCAAAUAAUAAAGUUUCUGCAUAAUUUUAAAAAAAAUCAUUAAGAUUUUCUAAUAUAUAUAUUAAAUUUGUUGAGGAUUUCACUCUUUAGGAGAAGUUUGUGUAGUAUUGUUCGAUUGAAACUAAUGGAUUCCUCAACACUUCUAGUAUUGUUUUCGGUAAAAUUUUUGUCUUAUUACUUUGUCGAUAACUCAUGUCUUUAAAGAGAGAGCAAUUUCAUAAAGUGGAACAAUGCCAUAUAUGUAUGUAUGGUAUAAAGGUUUCAAUUGGGUUAAAUCACUAUUUAGAGUUUAAAUUUGGUAACUAUUCUUAUUUCGGGGCCUAAAUUUUUUUUGUUCAAGUUAGGCCUUAAACUUGGUAAUCAUUCUCACAUUGGGGCUUGAAUUAGGCAAUUGUUUCUAUAUUAGGGUUUUCAAAGAAAUAUCAGGGACUAACUUGAACCAAAUAAAAAUUUUAAACCCCAACGUGAGAACGAUUGUUAAGUUCAAGGCAUAACUUGGAAAAAAAGUUCAAACCCCAAUAUAGGAAUAGUUGCCAAGUUGAUGCUCCAAAAAGUGAUUUAACUGAUUCAAAUCUCACCAAGCACAAAUAUGAGGUUUUUUUAGUGACUGAGUCACUCCUAUUCUAUGAACCAGUAUCAUCGCCUUUUCAGGCACUCGGAUACUUGGUAGAGUCAGAAAACAAAACCAUAUCAAGAACAAUAACGAUUCAUUCAGAGAUCCGUCAAUUCUCAAUGAAUAAUACUUAACAACUUAUUCUAAUAGAAUCGAUUUCCCUUCAAUACAAUUGAAAUAAAGUUUUUAAGAUAAUAAUAUUUACUCUAAGUUGAGAUUCAAAUUUCGAACUUAAAAGCGAUCCAUUGGAUAUCGUUUCUUUCCCCAAAAAGAAAUCAUUUGAACCAGUAACAACGAUGAACAAUGAUUGAUGUUUAAGCAGCCUUUUAGUCUCACGUCUGCCUAUUAUUGAGACAAUUCUUGCCUUAGUUUCCUCGAAGUUACUGAUUUGUUCAUCUAAGCUAAUACGACCACCCUGUAAUUAAAAAAAAAAAAUCAUUGUUAUCGAAUUAGAUCUUAUAGCAACUUUUUGCAUCAAAUUUUCAAGGUUAAAUAAUGCUAUUAGUCCCUAUGAUAUAUGUAAAUUGUGAAUUUAGUUUAUGCACUUUAAUUUGGUAAUUUCUAGUCUAUACAGGCUGUAUUUUUUGAAUUUUUAAAUUUUAAUUCUGAUCUCAAUAUAGAUAUUAAAUUUAUUAAGUUAAAUUUUAUUAUUUUUAAAAUAUUAUAUAUGUAACAAAUAUAUUAUCAAAUGUAAAAUGACAUAUCAACUUAUUAUUUUCACAUAAUAAUACUCACAAAAAAUCAUACUACAGCUAUCAUUUGAAUCAAUAAUGAAAUUUUAAAAUUCAAAAAAUGCAAUGACUAAAAUUGACUAAAUUAAAGUAUAAUGACUAAAUUAAUAAUUUAAAUAUAAUUCAAUGACUACUAGUAGAAUUUGACCAUGGUAUUAAGCGUUUUCAGAAGGAAAAAUAUGUUACCCAGAUUAAUCCAGUGUCGUUCAAAAUUCCAGAACCAGAAGAUGCGUAAUUGACACCUCUUAAAACGGCGUCGCCUGCGGUAUUAGGAGCCAAAUAUGGAGGCCUGAAAUCUUUGGCACCCAAACGCUGUUCUGCCACAAACAAAAUUGAAACAAAAAAAAUUCUCAAUCUAAUUCGUAUCCUCUUAUGAGAUAUUAUCCGCUUCGGCUCGAAAGUUUCACAGUUCCGUCUCAUAAGUAUAGUCGUAAGUUUCUCUCUCUCUCUCUAUAUAUUAGAUCUAUCAAAUGAACUGGUAGAAUUUGCCUUGGAAUAGUUGAAUUCGGAUUUUAAAAUUUUCCUAUCAUUUUUUGUUUUGGUCUUUGAGUUUUUUCGGUCGAAUUAUCUUGAGUGGAUUAAUUUUUUGCUCGGGCUUUUUAAAGUUUGGGUAUUUUUUAUUCAAAUUUUUUUUAAAUUCUAGUCAUUCAGGAUUGACAAUCAGGAUUUCAAAUAAUGGUGAAUUGAGAAAAUUUUUGUAGUGAGAACCAAAAUUUAAUUAUAAUUUUUUUAUAGAUUAAUAUAUAAGUUUAUCUUAUAUUAAUUUAUAAUUUCAUUUUUAGGAGGACUAAAUUGUAAUUUUAUUAUAUAUCAAUUUACUUAUUUUUAUUUAUAAGAGGACUGAAUUGAUUUUGGGGGGCACAAAGUACAAUUUUACUAUAUAUUAAUUUAUAGUUUUUUUAUUUAUAAAAUGACUUAAAUGAAUAUUUUUCAUUUUUGAGCCAAGACCCUUGCAUGCUCCUUUUAGAUUUGUCUCUGAUUUCAAGUCGAGCCAUCUUAUGUGUUAAGAUCAUUUUAGAGUUGAAAUAAAUUUUUUGAGUUGGGUUAGGCUUGUUUUGGUUAUUGCCAUUUAAUACUCAAAUUGGAUUGGGCCAAAAUGGAUUUAAUUUAAUUACAUAAAAUUUUUUAAGUAUGGAUAAAAACGGAUAAUUAUUCAUAUAUAUAUAUAUAUUGUACACUUCAAGUUUUCUAAUUGUAUUCUGUUAUUUCAGUUUCAAUCACGAUAAACAUCACACCAUAAAAAAUAUAUUUAUCAUAAAAAAAAAAAGUUAUUGAAGAAGAAGAAACUUGCCUAAGAUAUCAAUUACCGUUCUACCGUUAGUGAAUCUCCCAGAGAGACAGUUCUUGCAAAAGUCUAUUCCAUUUGGAAACAUUGCCUUGGCUAAUGUGUUGAUGUAAUUGUUGUUUCCGACAUCAACUAUGGAAUCUCCGAAUAUGAAGAUCGUCGGAAUCUUCUCAGCUGACAUACUAUUGAACAAAAAGAAGAUUAAAGAUGCUGAAAUUCGAAACAUAACUCGGGGAAUUCCAAAAACAUGUUCGACCAUUUGAUCCAAAUUAAUGUCGGACUCUGUGAAAUCAUCAAUGUUUAUGCAUUGUUUCAUUGCCUAAGAAAAUUAAACGCAUGAUUGACCAAACAUCUUUUGUAGUUAAAGCUACUUCGCUUUUUCUGAAAGCAUAGCUAAAGCAACUUAGCUUAAGGUUAGUUAUGGGUAGUUUUUUAAAGGAAUAUUAAUCUUUGUAUUAUGUUUAAGGGGUAGAUUUAGUUUCUAUAUUUUAAUUUAAUUAUUUUUAUGUAAUAUAUUUUUUCAAUUUUAAAAUUUUAAUAUUUAUUAAUUAUUUUACAAAUAUAAAUUCUAAAUCCUCACCUUCAAACCUUAAAUAACCCUAAACCCUAAAAAAUAAUUAAACCCUCAUCCUUAAACUCUUAUCCAAUCCUAAAUCCUAGUAAUAAUUCAACACUAGCCCUUAAACUUUGAUUCCUAACCCUAAAAAGUAAUUUAACCUAAACUUUAAAUUUUAAUUCCUAAUAUCAUCUAAAAAGUAAGUAAACAUUAAAUACUAAAUCUUAAACCCCUAAUCCUUUAAACAUGUACGAUUUAAAAGGCCAACACUAUUAUCAAGCAACUUCUCUUUUUCUUUUUCUUUUUUUUUAUGCAUUAAAAGAAGGAGGAUCCACUUACACAAAUGCAUAAUUUUUUGUACAAUUAAUAUUUUAACGAUUCAACCUUUGAGUUUAUUGAUAUAAUUGUACUUGUCAUGCAUGAAAAAUUUUAAAUUAAUCCGAUAUCUUUAUAUGAAACAAAUUUGGCGUGCAAACUCUAUAUGAGUAGCAUACAAAAUAUGACGGUUAAAUCAUUAAAAUAUUAAUGGUAAAUUUUCGAAUCGAUCCAAUAUCUCUAUAUGAAACAAAUUUAACGUACAUACUCUAUAUGAAUAAAAUAUGAAAUUUGAUGGUUAAAUUAUUAAAAUAUUAAUGGUAAAAAAAUAAAAAAUUAUGAAACCACAACUUUGAUUCUAGAAUGGUAUUUAAGAGUUUUAACAAUUAUUUUGAUACGUUUAAGGUUUAGGGUAAGAUUCUUUCCCUUUUAAAUUGAUCCUACUAAAUUUUUUCAUAGGAUAAUAGGAUUUAAAUUUAUAUUUUGUAAAUGAUUGGUGAGAGCUCUAUCCUGUGGCGAAGUUAGACUAUGGUAGGGGUUCCGGUCCUCUUUAAAAUAAAAAAAAUAUUAUUUAGGUUUUUUUAUAGUUUAUAAAAUUUUAAAUUAAUAAUGGUAAAUGGUAAAAUUAUACUUUGACCCUCUUAAAAAAAUAACAAUUCGAUUUAAUCAUUUAAAAAUUAUAAACAUAUAGGCUAUAAAAAUGAUAAAAGUUAUUUAAAUAUUGAACAUAUAAUUUUCAUAUUAAAUAUAUAUAAUAAUUAGUAUACAAAAUAUUUUAAAUUUCAAACAAUAAAAUGAAUAAAAAAAUUAUUGACAAGAUUGUAAAUAUAUAUGGUACCCAACAAGCAAAAAUUAUUGAACUGAUUUAAAUUUAAUAUUGAAUUCUAACUAUUUACAAAAUUCGCAUUUUCUUAACAAUACCAAAACACUAAUAAAAAUAGGAAAACAAAAAUUUAAUUAAUAUUUAGUAUAAAAGUUUAGUAACUAAAAAGCAGUUUGCUGCUGUUUUUUUCUUUUUAUUUUGCUAAUUAUUAAUGCUAUGCUUGCUACUAAUGCGGAUAAUUUUCAUGGUUGCAACAAAUAUUAUCACAUUUUGGAAUUAAAAUCCUCCUCCAAUUCUUCCACCGCCGCCGCCACCAACACUAAACCCACCACUUACACUACCUACAAAUUUUCCACCAGCACUAGCUCUUCCACCUGCACCUCCUCCAGCUCCUCCACCUACGCCUCCUCUAGCACCACCACCACCACUACCACCAGCACCAGCACCUCUACUAGCUCCACCUCGAGCACUAGCACCACCACCACCACUAAUCCCUCCUCCAAAACCACCUCCAAAACCGCUGCCGCCGCCAAAUCCUCCUUUGGCUCCCCCACCCCCACUAAAACCACCAAAAGUAAGCUCUCUCCUAGCACCACCAUCCAAAUCCUCCUCAAACUUUCGACACUCACCUAUCCCUAAAACAAACACAAACAUCAAUGCAAGCACUCUCAAUCUCUUGGAAAUCAUUUUUCCGACCAUUUUCCAAAAAAAAAAAAAAAGUAAAACACUCUCAACUUUCAAAUCCAUCUGUUUGGUACAAAACUCUUAAUCUAUGCUUAUAUAUUAUAUUUUAUACUAUAAAAAGGUUUCCCAUGUCAAAAGGUGUUGCUUUUUUUCCUUCACAAUUUUCUUGGAUUUGAAUUAGUCUUUGUCUAAGUUUUAGAUUUAGCUUGGCGUCAAUUAACCCUUUAAUUAGACAUGAAAUUAAGUUCGGACACUUGGCUAGAAUGUGAAGUAGCAUGCCAUGAAAAACCCAAUAUAAAUUACAUGUUACAUAGAUUAAUGCAUAUGCACUAGCAAGUUUUAUUAUUAUAUCUGCUUACAUUUUUAUAGUUUUUAAAAGGAUUAAAUUAAAAUUUUAGUAUUUUUUAAAAAUUAAACUAUAAAUUUAACUUAAGAUUUUAAAAAUUUAAGGGAUUUAAACAGCAAUUUCUCAUUUUAGAGCGUCAAACCCUUGUCUCCUCCUCCCUUCUCCCCUGUGCACCGGAUGUGUUAGGCAAAAGAUAAAUAAAACACAAAUAAACAAAGCGUAAGUUACACUAGUAGUCAUACAACAAUUAGUAUUUUUUUUUAGUCACCUAACCAAGAAAGUUAUAAAAUGAUCACCUAACUAUUUGAUUUUUUCUUUUUUGGUCGCUUAACUAUGAAAAGUUACGAAUUGGUCACUCAAUUAUUAGUAAAAAAAAAUUUGAUCACCCAACUAUAAAAAAUUACAAAAUGGUCAUCCAACUAUUCAAUUUUGUCUUUUUUUGACAUCAGUUGGCUAAUGUUAUUAGCUUUUAAAAUUGUCACAAUAACAACUUUAACUCACAACAUUUAUACAUUGUGUCAAUUUAGUUUUGCUUAUAAAUAAAUCUAACUCUCAACAUUUCACAUUGUGUAAUUUAGUCCUUUCUGCAAUCUUGCUUUUCUUUGUAAAAAUAUUGGUUUUGAGGUUUUCAAAAUUUUUACAAAAGUUUUAUCGCUUACUCUUUUUUUUUCAGUUUUACUUUAUUUUUAGUUUUUCAAAAUUAAUGGUUAAAUUAAUGGUUUUAAUAAUUGAAGGACCUAAUUGAUAUAAAAUUGAUAAUAUAGGGAUGUAAUUAAAAUAUUUUAAAAUUUAAAAACUAAUUUAAAAUAAAAGUGAUAGUUUGAAUAUGUAUAGUGCAAUUAACUAUAUAAAUAAUAAUAUAAAAAUAGUUUCAAGAAAAUUUUAAGUAUAUUUUGAACAAUAAUAUAAUAUUUGAAGUUAAGUCAAUUUGGAUAACGUGAAACAAAAAAUUAUGGUUCAUGAAUACUUUUAUUUAGAAUUCUUCCUUGUUGUUAUUAGUUUUUUAAGAUUAAUUUCAUUAUAGAUUUUUAUCAUGUGUGUUUUUUUUUUAUACAAUGUUUAAAACUACUCAUAGUCUCUACUCAACCCUUAAAUAGAAAAAUAAUGCGCUUCAGUGCACUUGAACCUACGUACAACAAUGUGAUACUAAUUGAGUUAAAACUCAAUUGAAUUUUUUUUCUUAUUUUUCAUAUGAUCAUCAUGAGCAUGAUCUGUUUAAUUCAUUAAAAUCGAAAUCAACCAAUAAAAAUUGAAGUGUUGAAUUAAAAGUAAGUUAAUGAACAUAUAAUUUUCAUAUUAAUUAGUAUACAAUGUGUAUUUUGUUGUUAAAGUAAAAUAUUUUAAAUUUCAAAAAGUAAAAAAUAUUGAGAAUCAACCAUUAUUGAAUUGAUUUGAAUUAUAAUUAAUAGAAAACAAGUACAUGCUGUUGGGUAAAUAAAUCCUAGUAAUAAAGGCAGAAAAACAAAAACGUGGUUAAUAGAAUACAAGAAGCAUUUUGCAGCUUUUGUUUGGGUAGAAUUAACCAGCAUUAAGCUUAAUUUCCACCUUUUUUUUAAUUACUAAUACUAUAACAUUACCAUAUAUGCUUACUAGCAUGCCGCGGAUCAUAUGGAUAAUUUGCAUGGUUGGCACCAUGUACCAUGCACAUUUU
rnacentral:lncRNA from 1 species